rnacentral:rRNA from 1 species
GUGGGGAAUUUUGGACAAUGGGCGCAAGCCUGAUCCAGCAAUGCCGCGUGCAGGAAGAAGGCCUUCGGGUUGUAAACUGCUUUUGUACGGAACGAAACGGUCCUGGUUAAUACCUGGGGCUAAUGACGGUACCGUAAGAAUAAGCACCGGCUAACUACGUGCCAGCAGCCGCGGUAAUACGUAGGGUGCGAGCGUUAAUCGGAAUUACUGGGCGUAAAGCGUGCGCAGGCGGUGCUGUAAGACAGGCGUGAAAUCCCCGGGCUCAACCUGGGAAUUGCGCUUGGGACUGCAGUGCUGGAGUACGGCAGAGGGGGAUGGAAUUCCGCGUGUAGCAGUGAAAUGCGUAGAUAUGCGGAGGAACACCGAUGGCGAAGGCAGUCCCCUGGGCCUGUACUGACGCUCAUGCCCGAAAGCGUGGGCAGCAAACAGGAUUAGAACCCCUUGUAGUCC